CUCCAGCAGCAGGCGGGAGAACAGAGAAUGGAGAAGAGAGGAGGCACAGGAAAGGAGGGAAAAGAGAGAUGGAGAACAGAGAAUGGAGAAGAGAGGAGGCACAGGAAAGGAGGGAAAAGAGAGGCUGGAGAACAGAGAAUGGAGAAGAGAGGAGGCACAGGAAAGGAGGGAAAAGAGAGGCUGGAGAACAGAGAAUGGAGAAGAGAGGAGGCACAGGAGAGGAGGCACAGGGAAGGAGGGAAAAGAGAGGCUGGAGAACAGAGAAUGGAGAAGAGAGGAGGCACAGGAAAGGAGGGAAAAGAGAGGCUGGAGAACAGAAAAUGGAGAAGAGAGGAGGCACAGGAGAGGAGGCACAGGAAAGGAGGGAAAAGAGAGGCUGGAGAACAGAAGAGGCAAACGUGCAGCAGAGAGGUUAGAAGAGAGAGGAGAGAGGUUAGAGGAGAGAGGUUAGGGGAGAGAGGUUAGAGGAGAGAGGAGAGAGAUUAGAGGGAAGAGAUUAGAGGAGAG
ensembl:lncRNA